UACGUAGGGAGCAAGCGUUGUCCGGAAUCAUUGGGCGUAAAGAGCGCGUAGGCGGCCCUGUAAGUCCGUUCUGAAAGUCGGAGGCUCAACCUCCGAAAGCGGAUGGAUACUGCAGGGCUAGAGUCCGGAAGAGGCGAGUGGAAUUCCUGGUGUAGCGGUGGAAUGCGCAGAUAUCAGGAGGAACACCAGUGGCGAAGGCGGCUCACUGGACCGGCAUUGACGCUGAGGUGCGAAAGCGUGGGGAGCAAACAGG
rnacentral:rRNA from 1 species